rnacentral:rRNA from 1 species
AUGCCUUAGUACGGCGAGUGAGCGGCAAAAGCUCAAAUUUGAAAUCUGGUACCUUCGGUGCCCGAGUUGUAAUUUGGAGAGGGCAACUUUGGGGCCGUUCCUUGUCUAUGUUCCUUGGAACAGGACGUCAUAGAGGGUGAGAAUCCCGUGUGGCGAGGAGUGCGGUUCUUUGUAAAGUGCCUUCGAAGAGUCGAGUUGUUUGGGAAUGCAGCUCUAAGUGGGUGGUAAAUUCCAUCUAAAGCUAAAUAUUGGCGAGAGACCGAUAGCGAACAAGUACAGUGAUGGAAAGAUGAAAAGAACUUUGAAAAGAGAGUGAAAAAGUACGUGAAAUUGUUGAAAGGGAAGGGCAUUUGAUCAGACAUGGUGUUUUGUGCCCUCUGCUCCUUGUGGGUAGGGGAAUCUCGCAUUUCACUGGGCCAGCAUCAGUUUUGGUGGCAGGAUAAAUCCAUAGGAAUGUAGCUUGCCUCGGUAAGUAUUAUAGCCUGUGGGAAUACUGCCAGCUGGGACUGAGGACUGCGACGUAAGUCAAGGAUGCUGGCAUAAUGGUUAUAUGCCGCCCGUC